UACGUAGGGUGCAAGCGUUUAAUCGGAAUUACUGGGCGUAAAGCGUGCGCAGGCGGUUCGCUAAGGCAGAUGUGAAAUCCCCGGGCUUAACCUGGGAACUGCAUUUGUGACUGGCGGGCUAGAGUAUGGCAGAGGGGGGGUAGAAUUCCACGUGUAGCAGUGAAAUGCGUAGAGAUGUGGAGGAAUACCGAUGGCGAAGGCAGCCCCCUGGGCCAAUACUGACGCUCAUGCACGAAAGCGUGGGGAGCAAACAGG
rnacentral:rRNA from 1 species